UUAUCUGAUCGAACUAAAACUUAUUUUGCAUCUCCUGUCACAUGGUGAGGCCAAAAACAAUAUCCACAUCUAUGUAACAAACAAAAAACUGAUCAAAUAGAACAAAAGGGAACCAAUCACCAAACCAGAACCGCUUUUCCUUCAAAAAUGGUGAAGAACCACACAAAGAUCCAUCUGAAAUGGAAGUGCAUAAACAAUAAGCAAGGGGAAAGCCCAGGAAGAAGACAAUGACAGUAGAAAAAUAUUAUACUCCCUCUACAAUGCUUCACGUCCAACAACCAGACCAAGAUAGCCCCACCUUAAGCUCCGACUUUGGUAGAAUCAAAACUUAUUUUGUAUCUCCUGUCAAAGGGUGGGACCAAAAACAAUAUACACAUGUACGUAACAAACAAAAAAUAGAUUAAACAGAGCAAAAGGGAACCAAGCACCAAACCAGAACCGCCUUCCCACGAGAACUGGUUAAUUAGAACCCAAAGAUCAAACAUUUGAAGAUUAAAGAGCAUAACAAUAAGCAAAGGGAAAAAGUUCACCUAGAAGAUAAAUCACAAUAGAAAAAUAAUAUACUCCUGUUGACACCCACCAUAAACACUAUACCAAUGGCAGCAUCCAAGAUUGGUCCAUAUCCAAAUAACCAGACCAAGAUAGCCUCACCUUAAAUACCUAACUUUGAUGGAAUCAAAACCAAUUUUGUAUCUCCUGACACAGGGUGAGGCAGAAAACAAGGUCCAAGUCUACGUAACAAAAUAAAACUAUAAUAGAGAGCAAAGAUAACCAAGGAUCAAACCAGAACAGUCUUCCACAGAAGCCUGAUUAAGAAACACACAACGAUCCGGCAUCUGGAAAUUGAAAAGAAUAACGAUAAGCAAGGGAAAGUUUAGGUAGAAUAUAAAAUUUAGUAAAAAAGUUACAAUACUAUACUCCCUAUGCAACCCUUGAUAAACACUAUAUCAAUGACAGCGUCAAAGGUUGCUCCGUGUCCAACAAUCAGACCAAGAUUGCACCACCAUAAGCUCCUACUUUGAUAGAAUCAAAACUUAAUUUAUAUUUUGUGUCAUAGGGUGAUGCAGAAAACAAUAUCCACGCCAACGUAACAAACAAAAAACUGAUGAAAGAGAAAAAAGAUAACAAAGCAUCAAACCGAACAGCCUUCCAAUUAAGAACCACAACGAUCAGAAAUCUGAAAAUUGAAGAGUAUAACGACAAGCACCGGAAACUCUAGGUAGAAGAGAAAAUAUAGUAGAAGAAAAUGUAGUAUAACAAUCUGCAUCCCUCAAUAAACAUUAUAUCAAUUGACAUCUUAUAUUAGUCCGCAUCCAACAACCCCACCAAGUUGGCCCCCACCUUAAGCUCCCACUUUGAUAGAAUAAAACUGAAUUUGUAUCUCCUGUCACAGGGUGAGGGCGAAAAAAAUAUCAAAGUCUACGUAACAAAAAAAAAAAAACUAUAAUAGAGAACACAGACAACCAAGCGUCAAACAAGAACUGCCUUUCAGAGAAGCUUGAUUAAGAACAAAACAGCAACCAAAGAUUUGUCCAUGUCCAAAAACCAGACCAAGAUAGCCCCCACCUUAAGCUCCUACUUUGAUAGAAUCAAAACCUAUUUUGUAUCUCCUGUCACAGGGUGAGGCUGAAAACAACAUCCAAGUCUACAUAACAGCAAAAGAACUAUAAUUGAGAGAGCAAAGAUAACCAAUUAUCAAACCCGAACUGCCUUCCAGUUAAACUUGAUUAAGAACCACAUAAUGAACAGGCAUCUGGAAAUGGAAGAGAGACUAACAAUAACCACAGGAAAGUCUAGAUGGAAGAUAAAUUGUAGUAGAAAAAAAUACUAUAUUAUACUCCCUCUGCCAUCCUCGAUAAACACUAUAAUUGACAGCGUCAAAGGUUGAUCUGUGGCCAAUAUAACUAAACCAAGAUUAGCCCCACCUUGAGCUCCUACUUUGAUAAAAUCAAAACAAAAUUUUUAUCAUCUGCCAUAGGAUGAGGCAGAAAUACAAUAUACACGUAUACGUAACAAACAAAAAAACUGAUGAUAGAGAGAAAAGAUAAACCCAGCAUCAAACCAGAAGUGCCUUCAAGUAAAGAACACCUGGAAAUUGAAGAGUAUAACGAUAAGUAUAGGAAACUCAAGGUAAAAGAGAAAACGUAAAAAAAAAAAAAAUAACUAUACUGUACACCAUCUGCCACCCUCGACAAACACUAUAUCAAUGAUGGCAUCAUAGAUUAGUCCAUAUCCAAAAACCAGACCAAGAUAACCCCCACCUUAAGCUUCAACUUUGAUAGAAUCAAAACCUAUUUUGUCUCCUGGCACAGGGUGAGGACCAAAACAUUGUCCAAGUCUACAUAACAAAUAAACAAUAAUUACAGAGCAAAGGUGACCAAUUAGCAAACCAGAACAGCCUUCCCGUGAAGCUUGAUUAAAAACCACACAGCGAUCAGGCAUCUGGAAAUUGAUGAGAACAACGGUAAGCAUGGGAAAGUCUAGGUAGAAGAUAAAAGAUAGUAAAAAAAAAAAAAACUAUUCUAUACUCUCUUUGCCAGGCCCACACCACUAUAUCAAUGACAGCAUCAAAGGUAGAUCCGUGUUCAAUAACCAGGCCAACAUUAGCCACACCAUAAGCUCCUUCUUUCAAAACUUAAUUUUUAUCUCCUAUCAUAGGGUGAGGCAGAGAACAAUAUCCACGUCUACAUAACAACAAAAAAUUGUUGAAACUGACAAAAGAUAACCAAGAAAACAAGAAGUGCCAUCCAUUAUGGAAAUUGAAGAGUAUAACUAUAAACACGGGAAACUCUAGGUAGAAGAGAAAAUGUAGUAGAAAAAAAAAAUACUAUUAUGUAUUUCCUUUGCGACCCUCGAUUUACAAUAUACCAAUGAUAACAUCAAAGAUCUGUCCGCGUCCAAAAACCAGACCAAGAUAGCCCCCACAUUAAGCUCCUACAGUGAUGGAAUCAAAACCUAUUUUGUAUCUCCUGUCACAGGGUAGGCCCAAAACAAUAUCCAAGUCUAUAUAACAACAAAAGAAAUAUAAUAGAGAGAUCAAAUGCAACCAAUUAUGAACCCAGAACUGCCUUCCAGUUAAGCUUGAUUAAGAACCACACAACGAUCAGGCAUCUGGAAAUUGAAGAGAAUAACAAUAAGCACGGGAAAGUCAAGAUGGAAGAUAAAUUGUAGCAGAAUUAAUACAAUACUAUACUCCCUCUGACACCCUCGAUAAACAUUAUAUCAGUGACAGCAUCAAAAGUUGAUAUGUCUCCAAUAACUAGACCAAGAUUAGCCCCACCAUAAGCUGCUUCUUUCACAACUUAAUUUUUAACCCCUGUCACAAGGUGAGGCAGAAAACAAUAUCCACGUCUACGUAACAAAUAAAAGAUUGUUGAAACUGACAAAAGAUAACCAAGCAUACCAGAAGUGCCUUCCAGUUAAGAACCACACAACAAUCAGACAUCUGGAAAUUGAAGAGUAUAACUAUUAGCACGGGAAACUCUAGGUAGAAGAGAAAAUGUAGUAGAAAAAAAAUACUAUUAUGUACUCCAUGUACUCCCUUUACCACCCACAUUAAACUAUAUCAAUGACAGCAUGAAGGAUUUGUCAGUGUACCAAAAACCAGACCAAGACACGCCCCCACCUUAAGCUCCUACUUUGAUAGAAUCAGAACCUAUUUUGUAUCUCCUAUCACAGGGUGAGGCUGAAACCAACAUCGAGUCUAAAUAACAACAAAAGAACUACAAUAGAGAGAGCAAAGGUAACCAACUAUCAAACCCGAACUGCCGUCCAGUAAGCUUGAUUAAGAACCACACAACGAUCGGGCAUCUGGAAAUGGAAGAGAAUAACGAUAAGCACCGGAAGGUCUAGAUGGAAGAUAAAUUGUAUUAGAAGAAAUACUAUACUAACUCCCUCUGCCACCCUCGAAAAACAUAUCAUGACCAUCAAAGGAUUGAUUGUGUGCAAUAACUGACUAAGAUUAGCCCUACCUUAAGCCCUACUUUGAUAAAAUUAAAACUUAAUUUUUAUCUCAUGUCAUAGGGUGGGGCAGAAAACAAUAUCACGUCUAUGUACAAACAAAAAUUGUUGAAAUGACAAAAGAUAACCAAACAUCAAACCAGAAGUGUCAUCCAGUUAAGAACCACCCCACGAUCAGACAUCUGGAAAUUGAAGAGUAUAUCUAUAAGCACGGGAAACUCUAGGUAGAAGAGAAAAUGUAUAGAAAUAAAAAUACUAUUAUGUACUCCCUUUGCCACCCUCGAUUAACACAAUAUCAAUGACUCAUCAAAGAUCUGUCCGCGUCCAAAAACCAGACCAAGAUAGCCCCCACAUUAAGCUCCUACAGUGAUGGAAUCAAAACCUAUUUUGUAUCUCCUGUCACAGGGUAGGCCCAAAACAAUAUCCAAGUCUAUAUAACAACAAAAGAAUAUAAUAGAGAGAUCAAAUGCAACCAAUUAUGAACCCAGAACUGCCUUCCAGUUAAGCUUGAUUAAGAACCAAACAACGAUCAGGCAUCUGGAAAUCGAAGAGAAUAACAAUAAGCACGGGAAAGUCAAGAUGGAAGAUAAAUUGUAGCAGAAUUAAUACAAUACUAUACUCCCUCUGACACCCUCGAUAAACAUUAUAUCAGUGACAGCAUCAAAAGUUGAUGUCUCCAGUAACUAGACCAAGAUUAGCCCCACCAUAAGCUGCUUCUUUCACAACUUAAUUUUUAACUCCUGUCACAAGGUGAGGCAGAAAACAAUAUCCACGUCUACGUAACAAAUAAAAGAUUGUUGAAACUGACAAAAGAUAACCAAGCAUACCAGAAGUGCCUUCCAGUUAAGAACCACACAACAAUCAGACAUCUGGAAAUUGAAGAGUAUAACUAUUAGCACGGGAAACUCUAGGUAGAAGAGAAAAUGUAGGUAGAAAAAAAAUACUAUUAGUACUCCCUUUACCACCCACUAUUAACACUAUAUCAAUGACAGCAUGAAGGAUUUGUCAGUGUCCAAAAACCAGACCAAGACAGCCCCCACCUUAAGCUCCUACUUGAUAGAAUCAGAACCUAUUUUGUAUCUCCUAUCACAGGGUGAGGCUGAAACCAACAUCCGAGUCUAAAUAACAACAAAAGAACUACAAUAGAGAGAGCAAAGGUAACCAACUAUCAAACCCGAACUGCCGUCCAGUUAAGCUUGAUUAAGAACCACACAACGAUCGGGCAUCUGGAAAUGAAGAGAAUAACGAUAAGCACCGGAAGGUCUAGAUGGAAGAUAAAUUGUAUAGAAGAAAUACUAUACUAUACUCCCUCUGCCACCCUCGAUAAACACACUAUAUAGUGACCACGUCAAAGGAUUGACUUGUGUGCAAUAACUUGACUAAGAUUAGCCCUACCUUAAGCUCCUACUUGAUAAAAUUAAAACUUAAUUUUUAUCUCAUGUCAUAGGGUGGGGCAGAAAACAAUAUCCACGUCUAUGUAGCAAACAAAAUUGUUGAACUGACAAAAGAUAACCAAACAUCAAACAGAAGUGUCUCCAGUUAAGAACCACCCCACGAUCAGACAUCUGGAAAUUGAAGAGUAUAUCUAUAAGCACGGGAAACUCGAGGUAGAAGAGAAAAUGUAGUAGAAUAAAAAUACUAUUAUGUACUCCCUUUGCCACCCUCGAUUAACACAAUAUCAAUGACUACAUCAAAGAUCUGUCGCGUCCAAAAACCAGACCAAGAUAGCCCCCACAUUAAGCUCCUACAGUGAUGGAAUCAAAACCUAUUUUGUAUCUCCUGUCACAGGGUAGGCUCAAAACAAUAUCCAAGUCUAUAUAACAACAAAAGAAAUAUAAUAGAGAGAUCAAAUGCAACCAAUUAUGAACCCAGAACUGCCUUCCAGUUAAGCUUGAUUAAGAACCAAACAACGAUCAGGCAUCUGGAAAUCGAAGAGAAUAACAAUAAGCACGGGAAAGUCAAGAUGGAAGAUAAAUUGUAGCAGAAUUAAUACAAUACUAUACUCCCUCUGACACCCUCGAUAAACAUUAUAUCAGUGACAGCAUCAAAAGUUGAUAGUCUCCAUAACUAGACCAAGAUUAGCCCCACCAUAAGUGCUUCUUUCACAACUUAAUUUUUAACCCCUGUCACAAGGUGAGGCAGAAAACAAUAUCCACGUCUACGUAACAAAUAAAAGAUUGUUGAAACUGACAAAAGAUAACCAAGCAUACCAGAAGUGCCUUCCAGUUAAGAACCACACAACAUCAGACAUCUGGAAAUUGAAGAGUAUAUCUAUAGCACGGGAAAUUCUAGGUAGAAGAGAAAAUGUAGUAGAAAAAAAAUACUAUUAUGUACUCCCUUUCCACCCCGAUUAAACAUAUCAAUGACCAUAAGAUUGUCGGUCCAAAAACCAGACCAAGACAGCCCCCACCUUAAGCUCCUACUUUGAUAGAAUCAGAACCUAUUUUGUAUCUCCUAUCACAGGGUGAGGCUGAAACCAACAUCGAGUCUAAAUAACAACAAAAGAACUACAAUAGAGAAAGCAAAGGUAACCAACUAUCAAACCCGAACUGCCGUCCAGUUAAGCUUGAUUAAGAACCACACAACGAUCGGGCAUCUGGAAAUGGAAGAGAAUAACGAUAAGCACCGGAAGGUCUAGAUGGAAGAUAAAUUGUAUUAGAAGAAAUACUAUCUAUACUCCCUCUGCCACCCUCGAUAAACACACUAUAUCAGUGACCACGUCAAAGGAUUGACUUGUGUGCAAUAACUUGACUAAGAUUAGCCCUACUUAAGCUCCUACUUUGAUAAAAUUAAAACUUAAUUUUUAUCUCAUGUCAUAGGGUGGGGCAGAAAACAAUAUCCACGUCUAUGUACAAACAAAAUUGUUGAAAUGACAAAAGAUAACCAAACAUCAAACCAGAAGUGUCUCCAGUUAAGAACCACCCAGAUCAGACAUACUGGAAAUUGAAGGUAUAUCUAUAAGACACGGAAAUUGGUAGAAGAGAAAAUUAAGUAGAAUAAAAACUAUUAUGUACUCCCUUUGCCACCCUCGAUUAACACAAUAUCAAUGACUCAUCAAAGAUCUGUCCGCGUACCAAAAACCAGACCAAGAUACCCCACAUUAAGCUCCUACAGUGAUGGAAUCAAAACCUAUUUUGUAUCUCCUGUCACAGGGUAGGCCCAAAACAAUAUCCAAGUCUAUAUAACAACAAAAGAUAUAUAAUAGAGAGAUCAAAUGCAACCAAUUAUGAACCCAGAACUGCCUUCCAGUUAAGCUUGAUUAAGAACCAAACAACGAUCAGGCAUCUGGAAAUCGAAGAGAAUAACAAUAAGCACGGGAAAGUCAAGAUGGAAGAUAAAUUAUAGCAGAAUUAAUACAAUACUAUACUCCCUCUGACACCCUCGAUAAACAUUAUAUCAGUGACAGCAUCAAAAGUUGAUAGUCUCCAUAACUAGACCAAGAUUAGCCCCACCAUAAGUGCUUCUUUCACAACUUAAUUUUUAACCCCUGUCACAAGGUGAGGCAGAAAACAAUAUCCACGUCUACGUAACAAAUAAAAGAUUGUUGAAACUGACAAAAGAUAACCAAGCAUACCAGAAGUGCCUUCCAGUUAAGAACCACCCCACAUCAGACAUCUGGAAAUUGAAGAGUAAAAUUAUAAGCACGGGAAACUCUAGCUAGAAGAGAAAAUGUAGUAGGAAAAAAUAACUAUUAUGUACUCCCUUUGCAACCCUCGAUUAACAACAUAUUAAUUGACAAUAUCAAAGAUUUUUCCGUGUCCAAAAACCAGACCAAGAUAGCCCCCACAUUAAGCUCCUAUUGCGAUGGUAUCAAAACCUAUUUUGUAUCUCCUGUCAUAGGGUGAGGGCCAAAUCAAUAUCCAAGUCUACAUAACAACAAAAUAACUAUAAUAGAAAGAGCAAGGGUAACCAAUUAUCAAACCAGAACUGCCUUCCAUUUAAGCUUGAUUAAAAACCACACAACAAUCAAGCAUCUGGAAAUUGAAGAGAAUAAAGAUAAGUAUGAGAAAGUCUAGGUGGAAGAUAAAUUUUAGUAGAAAAAAUUACUAUAAAAUACUCCCUCUGCUACCCUGGAUAAAACCUAUAUCAGAGACAGCGUGAAAGGUUUGAUCUGUGUCCAAUAACUUGACCAAGAUUAGCCCCACCUUAUGCUCCCUACUUUGAUAAAAUCAAAACUUAAAUUUUAUCUCCUGCCAUAGGAUGAGGAGAAAACAAUAUCCACGUCUACGUAGCAAACAAAAAACUGAUGAAAAAGAGAACCAAGCAUCAAACCAGAAGUGUCUUCAAGUUAAGAACCACACAACGACCAGACACCUGGGAUUGAAGAGUAUAACGAUGGAGAGUAUAACGAUAAGAACCAGAAACUCUGGGUAGAAUAGAAUAUGUAGAAGAUAAAAUACUAUUCUGUUCUCCAUCUGCCUCCCUCAAUAAACACUAUAUCAAUGCCGGCAUCAUAGAUUAGUCCAUGUCCAAAAACCCAACCAAGAUAGCCCCAACUUAGAGCUCCUACUUUGAUAGAAUUAAAACCUAUUUUGUAUCUCCUGUAACAGGGUGAGGCCCAAAACAAUAUCCAAGUCAACAUAACAACACAAAAACUACAUUUACAGAGCAAACGUAACCAAUUAUCAAACCAGCCUUCCCGUGAAGCUUGAUUAAGAACCACACAGAGAUCAGGCAUCUGCAAAUUGAUGAGAACAACAGUAAGCACGCGAUAGUCUAGGGAGAAGAUAAAAUGUUGUAAAAAAAAAUACUAUUCGAUACUCCCUCUGCCACACUCGAUAUUAACAGCGUCAAAGGUUUAUCUUCCGAUAACCAGAUUAGCCCCACCUUAAGCUCCUUCUUUUAAUACUUAAUUUUUAUCUCCUGUCAUAGGGUGAGGCAGAAAACAAUAUCCACGUCUACGUAACAAACAAAAAAUUGUUGAAACUGACAAAAGAUAACCAAGCAUCAAACCAGAAGUGCCUUCCAGUUAAGAACCACUGAACCACACAACGAAUCAUCAGACAUCUGGAGAUUGAAGAGUAUAACUAUAAGCACGGGAAACUUUAGGUAGAAGAGAAAAUGUAGUAGAAAAAAAAUACUACUCCAUGUACUCUUCCUAUUGCCACCCUUGAUUAACAAUAUACCAAUGACAGCAUCAAAGAUUUUUCCGUGCCAAAAACCAGACCAAGAUAGCCCCCACAUUAAGCUCCUAUUGUGAUAGAAUCAAAACCUAUUUUGUAUCUCCUGUCACAGAGUGAGGCCCAAAACAAUAUCGAGUCUACAUAACAACAAAAGAACUAAAAUAAAGAGAGCAAAGGUAACCAAUUAUCAAACCAGAACAGCCUUCCAGUGAAGCUAGAUUAAGAAGCUCAGAGCGAUCAAGCAUCUGAAAAUUGAUGAGAACGGUAAGCAAGGGCAAGUCUAGGUAGAGGAUAAAAUGUUGUAAAAAAAUUACUAUACUAUACUUCCUCUGCAACCCUUGAUAAAAACACAAUAUCAAUUUGUCAGCGUCAAAUGUUGGUCCGUGGCCAACAACCAGACCAAGAUUAGCACCACCAUAAGUUCCUAAUUUGAUAGAAUCAAAACAUAAUUUUUAUCUCCUGUCAUAGGGUGAGGCAGAAAACAUAAAUUCAUCAUGAUGAUCUUGAGGCUCCUCACCAGCGAUUAAUCUGUGGCCAGAGAAGAGAACAAUUGAGUAAAUUCAUAACUAUCAGCGUUUCCACCAACUGCCGAUAACCAUCAAACUAUCAGCGCGAAAGGAAAAGGACAAAAUAAACCUUCUGGCUUGAGAGAUCACGAGCUAUCCAAUCGGUUGCCCUACAGAUACAAACGAAAGUAAGCCCCGAUAACCAAUACGGCAGAGGAAAUCAUGAUCUAAAUAGACCGUCAAAACUUGAACUAUAAAAUCUGCACUCGUUGCGAAUAACUGAAUAUUAACCCAAAUCAGCAGAAGGAAUCACAAUAACCGAUCUACACAAAUCAAAUACGUCAAAGUAGAUUGAACAGAAAUCCUCCGCUAGGUCAUCUAUCCUCGCCGCCAUAUGUCAUACCAGACAGGGAAGGCUAAUGGAAAUCGCAACACAAGGAGAGAGUAACCCGAUCGAAAACACAAAACUUAAUCGCCAACGAAAUCGCACCACAAAACACAAUAACCCUAGAUAUGAAUUCAGGAGAAGAGGGCCACAAUAGAAGAAAAAUAAUAGCGAAACACGCAAAGAGGGGGGAUGGGUAGGAGAAUGUGGGGAGAUAUGGUAUAUAUAGUGAGUCAUAGAGAGACUUG
rnacentral:lncRNA from 1 species